ensembl:lincRNA G630018N14Rik RIKEN cDNA G630018N14 gene
CAGUAUGAGGCAAGAAGUGGGUCUGGCUUGUUCACAUCUGUCGAGACACUGGUAUACAAGAAUGCCCUCGGUGUUUAAUUGCAGAAUAAGUCAAAGGGUGCCAGUUCAGUGGAGUAAAGAGAAAAAGAUUGGCUGAAGUCAUAAGCAACACAGCUGUGCUGGAGAAAAGUGUAAGCUUCGAGACUGAUCUUCAAGAUGCUUUCAAUUAAAUAUUAAGUAAUAGUGUGGCUUGAACAAUUGUAUGUAAAAAAAUUAGGAUAACUUUAGUUAAUUGAAUAGUAUUAAAAAUUAUAGGUAUAUUUUC